GCCAGGUGUAGUGGCACAAGCCCAUAGUCCCAGCCAUUUGGGAGACUAAGGCAGGAGGACUGCUUGAGUCCAGGAGUUCAAAGUCAACCUGGGCAACACAGUAAGACCCUGUCUCAA
rnacentral:sRNA from 1 species